rnacentral:rRNA from 1 species
AAGACCUUGCACUUUUGGAGCGGCCGAUGUCUGAUUAGCUAGUUGGUGGGGUAAUGGCCUACCAAAGCUUCGAUCAGUAGCUGGUCUGAGAGGACGGCCAGCCACACUGGGACUGAGACACGGCCCAGACUCCUACGGGAGGCAGCAGUGGGGAAUUUUGGACAAUGGGCGCAAGCCUGAUCCAGCCAUGCCGCGUGAGUGAAGAAGGCCUUCGGGUUGUAAAGCUCUUUCAGCCGGGAAGAAAAGGUUGCGACUAAUAAUCGCAAUUCAUGACGGUACCGAAAGAAGAAGCACCGGCUAACUACGUGCCAGCAGCCGCGGCAAUACGUAGGGUGCGAGCGUUAAUCGGAAUUACUGGGCGUAAAGGGUGCGCAGGCGGUUUUGUAAGUCAGAUGUGAAAUCCCCGGGCUUAACCUGGGAACU